rnacentral:rRNA from 1 species
CCUACGGGUGGCAGCAGUGGGGAAUAUUGCACAAUGGGGGAAACCCUGAUGCAGCAACGCCGCGUGAGUGAGGAAGUAUUUCGGUAUGUAAAGCUCUAUCAGCAGGGAAUAGAAAAGAAGGUACCUGAAAAAGAAGCCCCGGCUAACUACGUGCCAGCAGCCGCGGUAAUCGGUAGGGGGCAAGCGUUAUCCGGAGUUACUGGGUGUAAAGGGAGCGUAGACGGAAAGGCAAGUCAGAAGUGAAAGCCAAAGGCUAAACCAUGGGACUGCUUUUGAAACUGUCAACGUAGAGUACGGGAGAGGUAAGAGGAAUACUUGGUGUAGCGGUGAAAUGCGUAGAGAUUAGGAGGAAUACCAGUGGCGAAGGCGUCCUACUGGACCGAAACUGACGUUGAGGCUCGAAAGCGUGGGGAGCAAACAGGAUUAGAUACCCUGGUAGUC